AGAUUAAGUUUAAUUUAAACUCUUAAUUGAUAAGAUGUUGUUUUCUAUCUUUAUGAAGGUUAUAGCUUUUAUCUAACAAUUCUAAUUUGUCCAUUUUAAUAAAAUAUAUAGAUUUUUCAGCAGAACUAGACUUAGAAAUGACAACAGAAAAAGAGGAAGAAAGCUGUAAUGAAAGUGAAAAUAAACACCUACAGAUUGAAGAAACGGAGAAGCACCAAAAUGAUGAAAUGGCAGUAUUAGAAAGCAUAUAUUCUUCUGCUGCUGCUGGACUAAUGCAUCCAAUAGGGAGUGGAAAAACUGAUAACAACCUAUGUCCUAUUAUGGAAAAUGAAGAAUCUGAUGGAUCUUCAAAGAAAACAUCUA